rnacentral:lncRNA from 1 species
UCUGUUAGCAUGUGAAGAUAAUUAUUUUUAAAUUACGUGGGUGUUUGGCCUAUCUUUUGAAAAGUAAUUUUUGACUCAAAUAUAAGGUCCGUUUGGUCUAGAUUUGGAAAAAAUAAUUUCUGUAGAAUUGAUUUUAGUUUGAAAAAGUAAUUUCUGUUAGAAGCUAUAGAGCGUUUGGCAAAAUUCGGUAGAAAAAUAGUUUUGCUGAAGUGAUUUUAGAAAGCUGUUUAACAAAUUUUUUUCCUGAAGUGAUUUGUAAUGCUCUUUAAUAUUAGUUUAUUAAUUUAUUUUUUAGUGAAGUGAUUUUUAGAUUUAAACAUCAAAGAAGGUUACAUAUAAAAUAUUAUAUUAAUUUAUUAAUGUAUAUUAAUAAUUAAAAUGUUUUAAAAUUAUACUUUUAUAUAUAAAAUAUAUCUUUCAUAAAAAUUUAAUUUUAAGUUCUGUUGAAAUACAAAUAAAAGUUUUGAUCGAUUCAAAUCGGUCACAUUUUGAUUUUUUAUAAUCACAUUCCUAUUUAUCGCGCCGGUAGCACCCAAUUCGGCCGGAUUCGGCCUUGCCGAGACCCGUCGGCAAGGAUUCUGUAAGGACGGAUCCUGCGGGCAAGGAUCCGAUUAAAUCUGGCCAAAUUCGGCAAGGACGGAUCCCGCCGGCACGGAUUUGGCAGACCAGUCGAGCCAUAGGGGAAGGGAGAGAGAGAUAAAGAGAGAAAUCUAUUAAAAAAAAAGGGAAGAGGGAUAGAGAUGGAGAAGCUAAAGAAGAGAGGAAGGUAAAAAAAAAUUUUGUUGGAGAGGAGUUGGGAAGAGAGUUAUAUGUGGGAAGAGUGAAUGGGAGAGAGCCGAGGAUAAUUGAAAAUAUUAAUUGAAUAUAAAAGUAUAGAGUAUAAUUAUGUUAUUUAUUUAGCGGUAUUUUGGGUUUUUUUUAUAAAAAUUUUAAGUGGGAAAACUAAUUUAUGGGAAUCAGUUUUGGAGAAGCAGAUAUUUUUUGUUGCUUUUGAUUUUGGGGCUUGACAAAUUAGUUUUCUGAUUCUGAAAAAUAGAAUCAAAUUUUCUAACUUUUGUUGCCAAAUGCUCUACUGAGCCAAAAUCACUUUUCAAGGCUCAAAAUCAGAAACAACUAAAAUCUGUUUCUUAACAUUUGAUUCUAAUUUAAGACUCAAAUUUUAAAUUUUUAUUUUAAUUUUAGAUCAACAACAGGCUAGCGAGCCAAUGAGUAUCUAUCGAGCCAUGCAUGCUCACCCGGCUUACUUGAGCACCUUCUUUCCCUUUUCCGAAGACUACUUCGGCCGACAAUCAUCGUCAAAACGCGAUACUCGUUGAUGUGGGCCCCCUUGAUGUCCUCGAAAACUUCCCCCAAGAAACAAUCACCAACGAACCAGCGAGUCAUUUCAGCGGCUACCCAACUGACUUCCUGGUCGCAAGAUACAGCUAACGAGACUACGUCGUUUUCCUUCCUG